CCAAUAGCGUAUAUUAAAGUUGUUGCAGUUAAAAAGCUCGUGGUUGAAUUUCAGGCCUGGCUGGACGGUCCGCCUUUUGGGUGAGUACUGUCUGUGGUCGGGUCCUACCUUCUGGCGAAGCGUCAUGGCCUUAACCGGCCGUGGCGGGGAACCAGGACUUUUACUGUGAAAAAAUUAGAGUGUUCAAAGCAGGCAGUCGCUUUAAUACAUUAGCAUGGAAUAAUGGAAUAGGACAAUGGUUCUAUUUGUUGGUUUCUAGGACCGUUGUAAUGAUUAAUAGGGAUAGUUGGGGGCAUUAGUAUUCAAUUGUCAGAGGUGAAAUUCUUGGAUUUAUUGAAGACUAACUACUGCGAAAGCAUUUGCCAAGGAUGUUUUCAUUAAUCAAGAACGAAAGUUAGGGGAUCGAAGACGAUCAGAUACCGUCGUAGUCUUAACCAUAAACUAUGCCGACUAGGAAUCGGGCGAUGUUGACAAAAUGACGCGCUCGGCACCUCAUG
rnacentral:rRNA from 1 species